UUAAACAUUGGAUUAUAAUAAACUUGUUUAAGAACAUCGAAAAAAUACUCUUAUUGAAAUGAAAUUAUCGGAAUUAUUUUUAUUUAUUGCUAUUUGCGUUAUAAUGGCAGUGCAAGCUACAGCUGUAGCUUCCCCAAUACCAUUACCGAGAAAUUUUAUUAAAGGAAGGGGAGCGCGUGGUAAUCAUCAAUCCAAUGUACAGGUCCAUUGCAAUUGCGGUUAAUUUACAUUGUGUAUUUAAAUGGAGAUUCACUGAAACAUAUUUGAAAAUCUUAAUAAAUUAUUUUACAACAAAUUAAUUAAGAAGACAAUUUUAUUUUAGUAAAUAUUUUAUAAAAAAAACAUAUUAACGUUGUUAAUUUAUAAGUAAAGUUUCAAUUGAUGUAUCUGAUGUUUUUUGAAGACUUGGACUAAAUGACAAUAAAGGAUGAUCUAUUUGAUUUGAUACGAAAUAACAA